UACAGAGGUGGCAAGCGUUGUUCGGAAUUACUGGGCGUAAAGGGCGCGUAGGCGGCCUUCUAAGUCAGACGUGAAAUCCCCAGGCUUAACUUGGGAACUGCGUCUGAUACUGGGAGGCUUGAGUGCGGGAGAGGGAUGUGGAAUUCCAGGUGUAGCGGUGAAAUGCGUAGAUAUCUGGAGGAACACCGGUGGCGAAGGCGGCGUUCUGGACUGCAACUGACACUGAGGAACGAAAGCCAGGGGAGCAAACGGG
rnacentral:rRNA from 1 species